rnacentral:lncRNA from 1 species
AAACGUCAUGUUCUCUGCCCUUGUGCAUUGAGACAUUUUUCAAAUCAAAUAUUUCUCCAUCCCUGAUGCGUUGAGAACUUUUCAAAUCUAAAAAUAACAAACCAACAAAUAUUUUCUAGCCUAUCUAUGGUACUUUGAUCCUUCAUAUUGUUUGAAGGUACGUAGGCAUAGAGUUGAAACACUCUAGCGAGUAGAAUUAUAAUUAAAAAUAAAACCCUUUUGGUCCUUAUUGUAAUUUAAUAUUUUUUUUCUUAAAAAAAUAAUAAAGUAAUUCUCUUGUAAAUAAAUAACCAUGCAGGAAUAAAUAAUCUAAACAUACAUCCCUUAGACAAAUACCCUUAACCCUAGAACUAGAGAAGCCUCCCAUUAAGUAU